GAGUCUAUGACCACAGCAGUAUGAUUGAUGGAAAAGAGUUUCUAUGAGGAUCAUAAUUGGAUUUAAACUAAUUGAAUCUAUCAUAUGACUGAUGAUGAGGUUUGAUGAUUUAUCCAUGACCUACCAUCUAGUCAGGAUUUACAAUAGAAGGAUUGAAUCACAUGUUAGCUGCACCUUAAUGUUCUUUUUCAAUUCAACUGGAUUGCUAUUACAUAUUGCUAGAUGUCACUGGUA
rnacentral:lncRNA from 1 species